GCUCAGUUCUUACCCCAAGUUCACCAAUGCUUCAGACUAAUGAAAGUCUUACAUCAGUCACAUUGAGAUUACUGUGCUGGCGUGCCACCUCUGAGACCUACAUCAUGGACGGGAUCUGUGAUUUCAUCAUUUCAGCUGCCACUGACAACCUACAGAUGUGACAACAUGCUCACGCCCUCAACCGCGAAGCCAAAGACGCACCCUCAGACAAAUGAUCAUUUCAGCUUUACAUAGCAGCACGUUCCCAUGCACUGAUACACAUACUGUACACACACUAUGUUUAAGCACAGGUUCAUAUGUUUAUUUGAUGUGUAAUGUUAUUUGCAGCAAAGUGAUAAUAAAGUAGUAUCUUGAUUGUAAAUCUUCUUUUCAGAAUGGCUUUUCUAUAAAAUGUACUUUACAGUAAUUUGAGACCCCCAAUGAUUUUUUUUAAGGUCCUCUCCUUGCUUUGCUUUGAAUGAAGGUGGAUGGAAGAAGAUCGUUUUUAGGCGAGUUUAUGUUUUAGGUUUGGUUUUGCAUAAAUGAAAGGCUGUACACCUGAGCAACUUCCCAUUAUCUUUCACCAGAAUCAAUAGAGUGAUGAGGGCUAUAAAUGACAAAAUAUAUGUAGACAAGACAACUCAUGAUUCAGUAUGUAAAGAGAGGCUCUUUGCAAUACAGUGUGCAAAUAUUGCAAUGAUCUCAUCAUUAUCUGUUACAUUUUGAUAUUUCAUUCUAUGGAAUUCAAGGGCAUCCAAAACUGUUUGGUUACCAACAUUCUUCAAAGUAUCUUCUUUUGUGUUCCACAGGUUUGGAACAACGUAAAGAACAGAGAAUUUUCAUUUUGGGUGAGUUAUCCCUUUAAGAUUAUUAUAUAAAGCUAUGUCUACAUUAUUCAGGAUUACAUUAAAAUGUUCACUAGAUGUGGACAAAGGCAUAAUGAAGUUAUAAAUUCUUUUGGCAGGAUUUUUUUUAUCUUUUCAUCUUUGCAGGAAUGUGGUAUGAAGAGUAUACAGAUUUACAUAUGUGACACUGGACACUGGACUGGACUGGACACCAGUCAUAAGGGCAUGGUUUGGUUUCUGUGCAGAAGAAAAAGGAAAUCAACAACUGGAUGGCAUUCAGAUGCAUUCAGCAUCAUGAGCCACAAGUGUGACCAAUCAUCUUGACUCCUUUGUGUCUCAUACUGCAUAUAAUUGGAAAAUGCUGAACAGCUGUUCCCCUAUUGGUUAAUUAACCCUUUAAAGGAUUCAUGCAUGCAAGAAAAUGCAAACUUACAGUGGCACAGAUUUAUUAUGAGCUGGUAAGUGAUAUAUAAUCUGCAACUGGAAGAUUAAAGCCUUGUUAAAAAUGAAUUGUCAUGCAACUUUGAAUUUCCAUGUAGCUACAUGCACUGUGCUGACAGAUGUUUCAUUUACUUUGCAGCAGUAAUGGGAAGUUUGAAUCAUUACUGUGCAUCGAUUCAUUCAAAAAG
ensembl:lncRNA